CCUACGGGCGGCAGCAGUGGGGAAUAUUGCACAAUGGGCGCAAGCCUGAUGCAGCCAUGCCGCGUGUGUGAAGAAGGCCUUCGGGUUGUAAAGCGCUUUCAGCGGGGAGGAAGGCGGUGAGGUUAAUAACCUCAUCGAUUGACGUUACCCGCAGAAGAAGCACCGGCUAACUCCGUGCCAGCAGCCGCGGUAAUACGGAGGGUGCAAGCGUUAAUCGGAAUUGCUGGGCGUAAAGCGCACGCAGGCGGUCUGUCAAGUCGGAUGUGAAAUCCCCGGGCUCAACCUGGGAACUGCAUUCGAAACUGGCAGGCUAGAGUCUUGUAGAGGGGGGUAGAAUUCCAGGGGUAGCGGUGAAAUGCGUAGAGAUCUGGAGGAAUACCGGUGGCGAAGGCGGCCCCCUGGACAAAGACUGACGCUCAGGUGCGAAAGCGUGGGGAGCAAACAGGAUUAGAUACCCUUGUAGUC
rnacentral:rRNA from 1 species